UACGUAGGUGGCAAGCGUUGUUCGGAAUUAUUGGGCGUAAAGGGCGCGUAGGCGGCUUGUUAAGUCGGUUGUGAAAGCCCGGGGCUCAACCCCGGAGAGUCGACCGAUACUGGCGAGCUAGAGUACGGAAGAGGUAGCUGGAAUUCCCGGUGUAGCGGUGAAAUGCGUAGAGAUCGGGAGGAACACCCGUGGCGAAGGCGGCCAUCUGGACCAGUACUGACGCUGAGGCACGAAAGCGUGGGGAGCAAACAGG
rnacentral:rRNA from 1 species